UAGUGAAGGUGGCCAGGGAGAAAACUC
rnacentral:piRNA from 1 species